GACGAACGCUGGCGGCGUGCUUAACACAUGCAAGUCGAACGGAAAGGCCCUGCUUUUGUGGGGUGCUCGAGUGGCGAACGGGUGAGUAACACGUGAGUAACCUGCCCUUGACUUUGGGAUAACUUCAGGAAACUGGGGCUAAUACCGGAUAGCAGCUCCUGCUGCAUGGUGGGGGUUGGAAAGUUUCGGCGGUUGGGGAUGGACUCGCGGCUUAUCAGCUUGUUGGUGGGGUAGUGGCUUACCAAGGCUUUGACGGGUAGCCGGCCUGAGAGGGUGACCGGCCACAUUGGGACGGAGAUACGGCCCAGACUCCUACGGGAGGCAGCAGUGGGGAAUAUUGCACAAUGGGCGGAAGCCGGAUGCAGCAACGCCGCGUGCGGGAUGACGGCCUUCGGGUUGUAAACCGCUUUCGCCUGUGACGAAGCGUGAGUGACGGUAAUGGGUAAAGAAGCACCGGCUAACUACGUG
rnacentral:rRNA from 1 species